rnacentral:lncRNA from 1 species
AGUUUCUCUAAUAAAAUAGAGUUUAUUAAGUAACUAAGUCUUACAGAAUCUGUUCUCCUGCAGUAUGGUCUAUGCAUGCACAACAUUAAAGGGAAAAUAUCUGAUGAUCUUCUAACUGAAGAAAAUCAAAGCUAAAUUUCCAAAUCCUAAGAAGACAACUAAGAAUGGAGAGGAGAAACCUCAGGUUAAGGGUUCCACUAGCCCCUAUGUUUAUCCAUCCUAAAUGUUCACUUGAGGACAGAGGAAGUAAUCAUGGGAUAAGUCUUCUGCAGCAUUUGACCCACUGUCAGAUGGACCAAGAACAGAAUUUUUGCUGGCUUCCAUAAGCCUUCACUCUAAGAAAAGACGAUGAUGGGAUUUUGAGUCUCCUAUAACAAGGACCUGCCCAACCAGCUAAGCCACUCACCAAUGCCCAGAAGUCCAUGUGUGUCCUUACUUGAGACCACGUAAGAGAUUCACGGCCAAGUGAGCAGCUCAAAGCCCUUAGGAAAUGAAAACACGUGGAUGACUGCCCUGUGAUAUUUUGAUGAUCCUUAUAGUCAGAAGGAUGAAGCAAAUGAUGUCUCCAGAUAAAAUCAAUUUACCCCUAAGAUAUUCAGAAAAAAAUAGGAUUCCAAAGUCAAGAAAUCCAGAGCUACGAAUGGAAAUACUACACAUUUUUCUUUUUAAUUGGUGGUGGUGAGAUGGAGAGACCUCGUGUUAUGUAUGUGAAAUUAAUGAGUGGAAAGUAUGGUGAAGAGAGGGCACACAAAUGGACCAAGCAGUGCUGGAAAACUCAAACUUGGUGUCAGAAACAUACACUGAAAAUU